AACAGACCAACCCGGGCCUUCACGGAAUUGGUGCCCGAGUGUGGGAAGACAGAACAAAAGCAAAAGGAGGACAAGGAAUUACAGCGCAGGGGCUUCCUUCUGAUCGGAGGGCGCAGCAGGACGUCAGAUGGAGGAGAGCAGAAGGGAGGGACACUCGUUCUUCUUCACCAGGCUGUAGGAGCACAGACCCCACCAGUGGGCCAUCUGUUUCCUGUCCUAUUCUGAGAGAUGCCAGUCUCGUGACGUGCCAGGCACAGCACACACAUCCUGGAGAGUCCCAGCAGCACCUGCACAAAACCCCCAUUAAGGCAGUUGGCAGCACCUGUGCCUGGGGCAUCUGGGCUGAGGUCAGGGACACAGCCUGCCCCAAGGAGCCCCGGAGGGUCUACAAGACAGCAAGGGCCCCAGCCUGACAGAGUCCAGCUCCAGGAGCUGGGGUGGUGAGCAGGGCUCUGCUGUCAGCCGGUCAUGACCUUCCAAAGAGACCCAGCCCCUGGCACAGGGUUGCUAGGCCUGUCCUCAGCCUCUUCUGUCGCCAGGACUCCGGGUGGGAGCCCUGUGGGGCCUGUCCCGCCGGCCCAUCCGGAGCAUCCGCAGAAGCAGGACAUGCCAUUUCCACGUGUGGGGCUUUGUCAUCUGUCUGGACCUGGCUCCUUCACAAAGUGUCCUCAUUCCUGAGUCUCGAGGACAAUGGACUUAUCAGAGUGGGACCUCUGGCUCCCGGAGGGAGGCGCAGUCUCCGGACAGGCUGACAGUGGGCCCCACUGGACAGGUGAUGCUGCAGAGCCCAUGCAGCUGGGAGUGGGGCGCUGGCCCAGGGGUCAGGGCUCUGCUUCCCUUCCUCUGGGCUCCAGGCUUCUCCCCCAGCCCACCUGGCGCCUUUCGAUUCCUUCUAGAUCCGACCUCAAUGUGACCACAGUGAUAGUCACGUUACUCCCCACAGGGCCCCUGCCCUCAAGCCUGCCCUCCCCCUCCUCCCUCUCUCCCUCCGUCUGUCCCACCCCCCCUCCCCCGCUGGCCACCAGACCCAUGUGGCAUUGGGGGGCGGCUCCCUCUCCUUGAGCACACCCCUCACCGUGGAAGCCAUGGGCUGGGCCCCACGGAUCUGGGAGAGGUCUCAAGUACCCAUGACAAAAUCACAUGUCUUCAGAAUCUCGUGUUUUCAUUUAAAACAAAAUUCAUUCACAUAUGGCACGCUCCUCCUUGCCAAUCGGUGCUUUAUAAUGAAUGCUCCGCCGAGGCUCUGCUGACCCCUCCCCAGAGCCUCCAGGCCCAAGCAUCGUUCCGCAUCUGCUGACGGCUCAGGGCACCCGUGUCGCGGCUACCAAGUGAUAGCACAUCGCCCAGCAGGCAGGCAGGGGAGCCAGACCCAGAGUCUGGUCUUGGCCAGCCUCGGGCAGGGUGGGGACCUGGCCGCCCGAACAAAGGCCUG